GAUGAACGCUGGCGGCGUGCCUAAUACAUGCAAGUCGAGCGAACGGACGAGAAGCUUGCUUCUCUGAUGUUAGCGGCGGACGGGUGAGUAACACGUGGAUAACCUACCUAUAAGACUGGGAUAACUUCGGGAAACCGGAGCUAAUACCGGAUAAUAUUUUGAACCGCAUGGUUCAAAAGUGAAAGACGGUCUUGCUGUCACUUAUAGAUGGAUCCGCGCUGCAUUAGCUAGUUGGUAAGGUAACGGCUUACCAAGGCAACGAUGCAUAGACGACCUGAGAGAGUGAUAGGCCACACUGGAACUGAGACACGGUCCAGACUCCUACGGGAGGCAGCAGUAGGGAAUCUUCCGCAGAGGGCGAGAGCAUGACGGAGCAGCGCCGCGUGAGUGAUGAAGGUCUUCGGAUCGUAAAACUCUGUUAUUAGGGAAGAACAUAUGUGUAAGUAACUGUGCACAUCUUGACGGUACCUAAUCAGAAAGCCACGGCUAACUACGUG
rnacentral:rRNA from 1 species